rnacentral:ncRNA from 1 species
AAGUCGUAACAAGGUUUCCGUAGCUAAGUCUAGGAAUAUGAAUCCUUCCGAGUGAAACUUACCGAAGCCUUGAACAGCGGCCCGAAAGGGUGAACCACCGCGACUCUUAAAUAAUGGAGGGAAAAUCGCUAGUCGUCUCGACGGCAACAUCGUCAAAUUGCGGGAACACCCUAAAGAUCUUGACACCAAGCACCGACUGGAAACAGCGGUGUGGCCAGGUUCAUUGCCUCGGGGUAUGGUAACAGUUCAAGAUAUGACUCCCUCCGGGGAUGAAAUGGGCAAUCCGCAGCCAAGUCCUACGGGUCGGCCUCGCCGAUCACGGAUGCAGUUCACAGGCCAAAUGGUGAUGGGUGAGACUCAACAGUCUUGCUAAGAUAUGGUCGGGCCCCUGGAAACUUGGAGGAUAAUUCACUACAAAUCAACUGAAUACAAACAACCGUUCCGUAGGUGAACCUGCGGAAGGAUCAUUACUGAGUUAGGGUCCUCGUGGCCCGACCUCCAACCCUUGUGUUAACCAUACCAUGUUGCUUCGGCGGGCCCUCUUGCAAGAAGACCGCCGGGGGGGUUUCACCGCCCUCUGGUCCGUUGCCCGUCGAUAGCCCACAAACCAAAACUCUUUAUGAAAACUGUCGUCUAAGUCUCAUUUUUAUAAUCAAAAUAAA